rnacentral:rRNA from 1 species
CCUACGGGAGGCAGCAGUGGGGAAUAUUGCACAAUGGGGGAAACCCUGAUGCAGCGACGCCGCGUGAGGGAAGAAGGAAUUCGGAAUGUAAAGCUCUAUCAGCAGGGAAGAAAAGGACGGUACCUGAGUAAGAAGCACCGGCUAACUACGUGCCAGCAGCCGCGGUAAUACGUAGGGGGCAAGCGUUAUCCGGAUUGACUGGGUGGAAAGGGAGCGUAGACGGCAGUGCAAGUCUGGAGUGAAAGGCCGGGGCUCAACCACCGGACUGCUCUGGAAACUGUACGGCUGGAGUGCAGGAGAGGUAAGUGGAAUUCCUGGUGUAGCGGUGAAAUGCGUAGAUAUUAGGAGGAACACCAGUGGCGAAGGCGGCUUACUGGACUGUAACUGACGUUGAGGCUCGAAAGCGUGGGGAGCAAACAGGAUUAGAUACCCGGGUAGUC